rnacentral:rRNA from 1 species
CAGCAGCCGCGGUAAUACGUAGGGUGCAAGCGUUAAUCGGAAUUACUGGGCGUAAAGCGUGCGCAGGCGGUUUGUUAAGACAGAUGUGAAAUCCCCGGGCUCAACCUGGGAACUGCAUUUGUGACUGGCAGGCUAGAGUAUGGCAGAGGGGGGUGGAAUUCCGCGUGUAGCAGUGAAAUGCGUAGAUAUGUGGAGGAACACCGAUGGCGAAGGCAAUCCCCUGGACCUGUACUGACGCUCAUGCACGAAAGCGUGGGGAGCAAACAGGAUUAGAUACCCGCGUAGUCCCUGUCUCUUAUAC